rnacentral:tRNA from 2 species
GCCCUUGUAGCUCAGUCGGCAGAGCGCAUCCUUGGUAAGGAUGAGGUCGGCGGUUCAAAUCCGCUCGGGGGCUCCA